GACGAACCGUGCGAACGUUAUUCGGAAUCACUGGGCUUAAAGCGCGUGUAGGCGGAAGGGCACGUCCGUUGCUGAAAUCCCCCGGCUCAACCGGGGAACGGGCGCGGAUACGACUCUUCUGGAGGGGCGUAGGGGGACCUGGAACUUCCGGUGGAGCGGUGAAAUGAGUUGAGAUCAGAAGGAACGCCCGUGGCGAAAGCGAGGUCCUGGACGCCUACUGACGCUGAGACGCGAAAGCCAGGGGAGCGAACGGG
rnacentral:rRNA from 1 species